rnacentral:rRNA from 1 species
UUCGAGCUCCGGCUCGACUCUCCCACCCUUUGUGAACGUACCUCUGUUGCUUUGGCGGCUCCGGCCGCCAAAGGACCUUCAAACUCCAGUCAGUAAACGCAGACGUCUGAUAAACAAGUUAAUAAACUAAAACUUUCAACAACGGAUCUCUUGGUUCUGGCAUCGAUGAAGAACGCAGCGAAAUGCGAUAAGUAAUGUGAAUUGCAGAAUUCAGUGAAUCAUCGAAUCUUUGAACGCACAUUGCGCCCCUUGGUAUUCCGGGGGGCAUGCCUGUUCGAGCGUCAUUACAACCCUCAAGCUCUGCUUGGAAUUGGGCACCGUCCUCACUGCGGACGCGCCUCAAAGACCUCGGCGGUGGCUGUUCAGCCCUCAAGCGUAGUAGAAUACACCUCGCUUUGGAGCGGUUGGCGUCGCCCGCCGGACGAACCUUCUGAACUUUUCUCAAGGUUGACCUCGGAUCAGGUAGGGAUACCCGCUGAACUUAA